rnacentral:rRNA from 1 species
AACACAUGCAAGUCGAACGGUGAAGGGGCCUGCUUUUGUGGGUCCUGGAUGAGUGGCGAACGGGUGAGUAACACGUGAGUAACCUGCCCCCUUCUUCUGGAUAACCGCAUGAAAGUGUGGCUAAUACGGGAUAUUCUGGGUCUGUACGCAUGGUGGGCCUGGGAAAGAUUGCGCCUUUUUUGGUGUUUUUGGUGGGGGAUGGGCUCGCGGCCUAUCAGCUUGUUGGUGGGGUGAUGGCCUACCAAGGCGUUGACGGGUAGCCGGCCUGAGAGGGUGGACGGUCACACUGGGACUGAGACACGGCCCAGACUCCUACGGGAGGCAGCAGUGGGGGAAAUUAUUGCCACAAAUGGGGCGCAAAGCU